rnacentral:rRNA from 1 species
UACAGAGGUCCCAAGCGUUUGUUCGGAUUCAUUGGGCGUAAAGGGUGCGUAGGCGGCGCGGUAAGUCGGGUGUGAAAUCUCGGAGCUUAACUCCGAAACUGCAUUCGAUACUGCCGUGCUUGAGGACUGGAGAGGAGACUGGAAUUUACGGUGUAGCGGUGAAAUGCGUAGAUAUCGUAAGGAAGACCAGUGGACGGAAGGCGGGUCUCUGGACAGUUCCUGACGCUGAGGCACGAAGGCCAGGGGAGCAAACGGG